AAAAAGGUAAGCUAAAUAAGCUACUGGGUUCAUACCCCACUUAUAAAGGUCUGCCCCUUUUCUUUUUA
rnacentral:tRNA from 2 species